CUUGACCGAGCCGAGCCACAGCGGGCGCCCGGCCGUCCGGUGCUCGCCGUAGGUCGUGAGCAGUGCCUGUGCCUC
rnacentral:antisense_RNA from 1 species